GGUUCGAUGGCGUAGUUGGUUAUCGCAUCUGUCUAACAUUGUGAGUAGCACAGAAGGUCCCCGGUUCGAGCCCGGGUCGAAUCA
rnacentral:tRNA from 1 species